rnacentral:lncRNA from 1 species
GUUUUGAGCCUACAUGAGAGGAGGACACUAAAGCCCCUGGCUGAUGACGGUCGAGCAGACAAAUGAUCAAAAUCAUUCCAGUCUUUGUUGGGAUUAUCUCAGAUUACGUCGUUCAAUGUAUCCUUACCUUUUUAUGAGGCGAUCACUAAUACAUCAUGUGAAGAGAUCAGGCAGCGGUUUCCUUCUAAUUCCGACAUAAUAUUCGUAACAAUUGUAUUUAGCCAUUCAAAAGCGAGCUACCUGUAUGUUACGGUUAGCAAUACAACUAGAUUUCGUUGUAAUUGGUUUAUAGUAUAUAUGUUUAUCUUAUAUGAAACAGAAAUGAGAACAUAUUACGUGAAAAACUUUAGACGUCAUUUGCCAGCGUGUAUGACUAUGUGGUACAUACUAUACUUUGACUGUUGGGUGUCUACAUAGUCACCAGUAAACAUAGAAACUAUCUCCAACUCCUCGACGCAGUGCGACAUCGAGGAUUGACAGCUGGAAAGACAAAGGGCUGCAGUAGAACUAGACGGAUACUCAUUUUCCGAUGAGUAGAGUGGAGCGGUUCAGGAAUCUCAAAACCUCACGAUCAUGAGCAUA